GUAGGUGGCAAGCGUUGUCCGGAAUUAUUGGGCGUAAAGCGCGCGCAGGCGGUUCUUUAAGUCUGAUGUGAAAGCCCACGGCUCAACCGUGGAGGGUCACUGGAAACUGGAGAACUUGAGUACAGAAGAGGAAAGCGGAAUUCCACGUGUAGCGGUGAAAUGCGUAGAGAUGUGGAGGAACACCAGUGGCGAAGGCGGCUUUCUGGUCUGUAACUGACGCUGAGGCGCGAAAGCGUGGGGAGCAAACAGGAUUAGAUACCCUGGUAGUCCACGCCGUAAACGAUGAGUGCUAAGUGUUAGGGGGGUUUUCCGCCCCCCUUAGUGCUGCAGCUAACGCAUUAAGCACUCCGCCUGGGAGUACGGCCGCAAGGCUG
rnacentral:rRNA from 1 species